CCCUGUGUCUGUUACAGCUUAGACCCGUGCCGACAUUACCUGGUGCUUGCUGUCCAUCAGCCACUGUCCUGCUGUGCUGUCCUGGGGACUGGAGACACGUGGAUAGAAGAAGCCCUUGUACCUGCUUAUUCAAGACUAGAUGAAGAGAACCCAGCUGGACAGAUAACAAACUUAUCACCUGCUUUAAGCAAAGUAUGUGUCCUUUUUGUAAAUAAACCUUCAUUAUCUCAUUAAGCUACUUGCAUUUGCCGCAGGAUUCUUGUCUUACAGGGACAGGGAGGCAGCUAGGAGUGCUGUCAGUCAGGAUGAGGGAGGGGAGGAGGCUCACAGGAGGAGACUGGACCCCAGACUUCAGAACAACAACACCAGGGAAGUGUGGAGGGGCAUGAGGACCCUCAGCUCCAGGUCCAGUAGUCAGUGACUGAGGGGUCUGUGGACAGGGCCACGAACUUUAUAACUUCUUCAACAGAUUCCAGGUUGGGCCUCUAAACCCCCGCUGCCCACGAUAGACCCCCCUUCACACCACCCACAGGGCUCAUCCACCCCCACCUCACACACCAUCACAGCAGAUCAGGUGAGAAAGGAGCUGAACAGCUUCAUCCAACAAAGGCUGCAGGACCUGAUGGAAUCAGCCCAAGGGUGCUGAAAGUCUGUGCUGCCCAGCGUGUGGUGUCCUCCAACACAUCUGCAACCUGAGCCUGCAGCUGGAGAGAGUUCCUCUUGGGUGGAAGAAGCCAUGCAUUGUGCCAGUGAAUAAGACGCCUCUGACCUCUCACAUCAUGGAGGCUUUUGAGAGGCUGAUCCUGGACUCCCUGCAGUCUCUGGUCAAACCCUCAGUCACCAUCAUAUCAACCCCAUCUAGGAGUGGAUGACGCCAUUAUAUAUCUGCUCCAUCGCACCUACAACCACAAGCCUGGCGCCUCCAGGUGCAUUUAACACCAUCCAGCCUGCGAUGCUGGGAGAAAAACUGCUGUCACCGCUCUCACUAUUAAAAAUGAAGAGGUGGAGGUUGUGACCGAGUACAUGGGAGUGUACUUGGACAAUAAACUGGACUGGAUAAAGAACUCCUCAGCUCUGAACAAGAAGGCUCAGAGCAGGUGCGCAUAGCGUGUGGCUGGACAGAGGAGCACCUUCAGCCAGAGGCUGAUCAGCAUCAGGUUCUCCACAGAACGCCAGCGGAGGUCCUUCCUACCGGUGCCAUCAGCCUGUACAACUCCUCCCCACCUGUAUUUGUGUAGUAUAGCUUGGAAAGUGGAUGAGACCACCCGCGGAGGGUGAGAAUAGAGUGGUGUGUGUGUGUAUAUAACCACUCUGUCCUGAUUAUACUUGUGUAUAUAUUUUUAACUUCCUUUCUAUCUGUGAAAGCAAUCAUAAGUGUGUAAAGCGAUUUUCCUCUGAGAUUAAUAAAGUUUCUUGAAUCUUGAA